rnacentral:rRNA from 1 species
UACAGAGGGUGCGAGCGUUAUUCGGAAUUACUGGGCGUAAAGCGCGCGUAGGCGGCUUUGCAAGUCGAGUGUGAAAUCCCCAGGCUUAACCUGGGAACUGCAUUCGAGACUGCAUAGCUAGAGUAUGGGAGAGGGAAGUGGAAUUUCAGGUGUAGCGGUGAAAUGCGUAGAUAUCUGAAGGAACAUCAGUGGCGAAAGCGGCUAUCUGGACAGAGACUGACGCUGAGGCGCGAAAGCGUGGGGAGCAAACAGG